AACGAACGCUGGCGGCGUGCCUAAUACAUGCAAGUAGAACGCAGUUGCGAACGGGUGAGUAACGCGUAGGUACCUGCCUCAUAGCGGGGGAUACCUAUUGGAACCGUUAGCUAAUCCCGCUUACUGUGAGAUGGACCUGCAUUGUAUUAGGUAGUUGGUGAGGUAAAGGCGCACCAAGGCGACGCUACAUAGCCGACCUGAGAGGGUGAUCGGCCAACAUGGGACUUAGACACGGCCCCGAAUCCGACGGGAGGCAGCAGUAGGGAAUCUUCGGCAAUGGACGGAAGUCUGACCGAGCAACGCCGCGGGAGUGAAGAAGGUUUUCGGAGCGUAAAGCUCUGUUGUGAGAGAAGCGGUAACGAACCAGAAAGGGACGGCUAACUACGUGCCAGCAGCCGCGGUAAUAC
rnacentral:rRNA from 1 species